ensembl:lncRNA
GCCCUGUAGAGCUGAGAACACCGCCCUGCAGGCAGACGGAUCCGGGGAUGCAAGAUUUAUGAGCACAUGUUGCUGCGUACCCAUCUGACCGAUGCUUCUCAUCCCGAUGUGCUUUUCCAGUGUCGCUCCCUAAAGAGCGACAUCAUCUAUUAAUUAACCUAAAUGGCAGAACACAUGCUUUCCUCUUAGCGAACGAUAAACAGAACCAGAUGACCCGUGAAUGAAAAAUAAGGUUGUGACAUGCUCCAGGCAACGUUGUUCCAUGAUAAAGAGAUACCGUCACUGCAGGAUGGAUGGUCCUACCAUAAAAAAUGAGGCAGGGGAGUGAUGGGCUUGGCUUACAGACAUAGCUCUUGAGCAACCUGACACGAGCUUAAAUAAAUCAGUGCAGGAACUCAUCAGGGCCAAGAAGGGACCAGAAUCCACAAUGGCAGUGCAGUGCUGAGCAUCAUUUCCAUGAAGGGACCACUAGCUUUGUGCGAUGAGUUUAGUGGCCUCCACAGAUUACAGAGCUGUCGUGGAAGGAUGCCCAUUGCUUCUGUGCAGCUAUGCAGUCCAUAGGUGCUAUUACCUCUAAGAGGAUCUUCAUCAUGAGCCACUGCACAGAAUUCCCUUUGGGACACCACAGUGGCAGCCACUUGCUCCUGCAUGGAGAAGAUUCUCCACCUGUGCUAUCAAUGGGACAAAUAUCCCAGAAACCUGCAGCAUUCCCACCAGUUUUCUUUGUCCAAACACAAGUAAAAUCAUGGAAUCAUAGAAUCAUCAAGGUUGGAAAAGACCGCUAAGAUCAUCUGCUGCACCCAAUCCUGAUGGCCAAAGGUGCCAGGAGCGAUGUGGGUGCAGAAGAUGAGGAAGAGGAUGGAGUCACCAGCAGUUCAGUGCUGAAAGAAGAUCUCUGAGAGAAAGAAUUAUAAAGCAAGUGCACAGGCCUUGUGUGAGUGCAGCAGUUCAGCUCUGGCAAUUCCUGACUGCAGGGUAGGAGAGGGUUAAAAGAAAGCUCUGAGCAAGGCCUCAGACUGCAAGGGAUGCUCUCAAGGACAAGCUGCAAUCUCCCCAGAAGGCCUCCUACCCUUUUGACCAGGCUGGAAAGAGAAUGUCU